UAGGGAAUUUUCCACAAUGGGCGAAAGCCUGAUGGAGCAAUGCCGCGUGAUGGAAGACGGUUUUCGGAUUGUAAACAUCUGUUGUAAGGGAAGAACACUAAUAAUAGGAAAUGAUUAAUAGCUGACGUUACCUUACCAGAAAGCACCGGCUAACUACGUGCCAGCAGCCGCGGUAAGACGUAGGGUGCAAGCGUUAUCCGGAAUUACUGGGCAUAAAGGGCGUGUAGGCGGUUCGGUAAGCCUGGCGUGAAAGGUACCGGCCUAACCGGUAGACGGCGCUGGGAACUGGCGGACUGGAGUUUUGGAGGGGGAGCUGGAAUUCCUGGUGUAGGGGUGAAAUCUGUAGAGAUCAGGAAGAACACCGGUGGCGAAGGCGAGCUCCUGGCCAAUGACUGAUGCUGAGGCGCGAAAGCGUGGGGAGCAAACAGGAUUAGAUACCCUGGUAGUCCACGCUGUAAACGAUGUGCACUAGGUGUUGGUGCCAUACGGGCAUCGGUGCCGUAGUCAAGGCGUUAAGUGCACCGCCUGGGGAGUAUGCUCGCAAGGGUG
rnacentral:rRNA from 1 species